AGAGUAGGUGAGGUGGUUGCACUUUUUGUCACAAAAAUUGUCAAUGAGUGAGGAAAGUCCGGACUCCCGAAAGACCAAACUUGCUGGGUAACUCCCAGUGCAGGCGACUGUGAGGAUAGUGCCACAGAAAAAUACCGCCUUUUUCAGUGAACAGAAGUGCGACCCUGCUGAUGUCUCAUCAGCUAAGGAACGCGCACUUCCCGAAGGGUUAACAGUUAACAGUGAACAGUAAAUGAAAACUGAUAACUGAUGACUGAUAAUUGAUUGAGGUAAGGGUGCAAAGGUGCGGUAAGAGCGCACCAGCAGUAUCGAGAGGUGCUGGCUAGGUAAACCCCGGUUGGGAGCAAGGCCGAAGGGAUUAGGGUUGGUCUUUUUCCAAUCCCGCUAAAGGUGAGCCGCAAGAGGUGGUUGGUAACAGCCAUCCCAGAUAGAUAACCGCCCUUAGAAGAAUGUGUAGUACACUUAUACAUCCUCAUCUAAGAACAGAAUCCGGCUUAUGUGCCGACUCUCUCU
rfam:Xenococcus sp. PCC 7305 scaffold_00222, whole genome shotgun sequence.